GUCUGAAAAAAACCCCCCCCCCAAAAAAAAAAAAAAAAAGAAAGAAAUAUGGAGGACCAAAAUUCCUCAUGUAUGGGCAGAAACUAACCUCCCAGGAUUGGCAAAACAUCAGCCACCUCUAGUAAUUCAGCUGCUUAGCACAGCUGCCCCAAUCAGGAUAAGGCAAUAUCCCAUCAGCAUCCAAGCCAGACUGGGAAUUGCCAAACAUAUUAACAGGCUUCAAGAAGCAGGGAUUCCCAUCCCCUGCCACACUCCAUGGAACACUCUGCUCCUGUUGGUACCUAAACCUGGGACUAAUGAGUUCAGGCCUGUCUAGAACCUGAGGGAGGUCAACAAGCAGGUUGAGGUGGUUCAUCCUACUGUGCCUAACCCCUACACCCUCCUCAGUGAAUUAGGGCCUGAGAGACAAACCUACUCUCUGUUUCACCUGAAGGAUGCCUUCUUGCCAAUUGCAGUGAUUAGCCAGCCCAUCUUUGCUUUUGAAUGGACUGACCCUGAUGGGUCCUACAGCAGACAGCUUACCUGGAUACAGCUCCCACAAGGGUUUAGGAACUCUCCUACACUGUUUGAUGAGGCUUUGAGAUGAGACCUAACCAACUACAAAGAAACCCAACCAGAGGUCUCUUUUACAGUAGGUUGAUGAUAUACUUUUAACAGCAGACAAUCCUGAGGACUGUGAACAGGCCUCCGAGGCCUUGGUAAAGAAUUUGGAGCCUGUCAGCUAUUUGGGGUAUCAAAUCCACAAAGGAAAAAGGUCACUGGGCCCAGAAUGCAUCCAGGCCAUCCCCCAAGAGUAGAAGACAGAUACAAGAGUUCCUGGGGGCAGCAGGGUAUUGCAGACUUUGUAUUCCAGGCUUUGCAGAGAUAGCUAAGCCCCUGUAUGCUUCUACUGAAAGGGAAGGAAUUGAGUUUGUCUGGGGCCCAUCAGAGGAUCAAGCCUUUCAACAGCUUAAAAGGGCCCUCGGGCCCCUGCUCUAGUCUUAUCUGAUGUCACCAAGCCCUUCCUGCUCUUCAUACAUGAAAGUCAAGGAAUAGCCAAAGGAAUUUUGACUCAGACUUUGGGGCCAUGGAGGAGGCCAGUGGCCUACCUGUCCAAACAUUUAGAUCCAGUAGUCUCCGGAUUGCCCAGUUGCCUGAGGGCAAUAGCAGCCACUGCCUCCUGGUCAAAGAAGCCUCCAAGCUUACCCUAGGCCAAGACCUGCAAAUCAUUGGCCCCCAUGCAGUGGAGAGAAGCUGCUGCUCACCCUUCCUGACCAAUGGAUUUCCAACACACAACAUCACGUGGUACCAGUCUACUACUGCUAGACCCCCCCCACGUGUAACCUUCCUCAAGUCAGAGACUUUAAACCCUGCCACAUUCCUGUGGAACCAGACUGCAGAACACCUUUCUCAUGACUGUCUAAAGACAGUAAGUACUCUAACUGGGGUACAGAAAGACCUAAAGGAUCAACCUUUGCCCAAGGUGGAUGCCGAGCUACUCACUGAUGGCAGUAGGAAGGUGUUUGAUAUGCUGGGGCGGUAUUAGUAACUCCGACAGACAUCCUAUGGGCCCAGGUCCUAGGACAUGGCACGUCAGCACAGAAGGCUGAGCUUAUCACCUUAACUGAAGCACUUAGAUGGGCAAAGGGAAAAACCAUAAACAUCUGUACAGACAGCUGCUAUGCCUUUGCCACUGCACAUGUACAUGGGGCCUUCUAUAAAGAAAGAGAGUUUUUAACCUCCAAAAGAAAAGAUGUUAAAAAGGAAGCUGGGCAUGGUGGUACACGCCUUUAGUCCCAGCACUUGGGAGGCAGAGGCUGGUGGAUCUUUUGACUUCGAGGCCAGCCUGGUCUACAUAGUGAGUUCCAGGACAGCUGGGGCUACAAGGAGACCCUGUCUCAAAGACAAUAAAUAAAUAAAAAAUAGGAAAUUCUUGCUCUACUAUAGGCUCUGUGGCUCCUGAAGCAAGUGGCCAUUAUACAUUGUAAAGGGCACCAAAAGACAGAUUCAACAGAAGCGAAUGGCAAUGAUUUUGCUGACCAAACAGCAAAGGAGGCAGCCUUAUGGCCAGUACAAGCCUUAAAAGUUUUAACUGCCCUACUGACUCAGGUGUUACCUGAGACUCACUCUUACUCAACCUCUGACCUCAACACCAUCAAGGAUUUACAAGGAUAAAAGGAUGAUAAAGGAUGGUAUCUAAUGGAAGAUGGGAGUCCCAUCCUCCCAAGAGUUCUAGGAAGAGACUGGUUACAACAAUUACAUUCUGCAACCCACAUGGGAGUUACCAAAAUGACAGAAUUAGCAAAAUGGGAUUUGUACAUUCCCAAUUUAAGACAGAUGUGCCAGAACAUAGCCCGGAGAUGUCAGGCUUGUGCUCAAACUAAUCCUGCUUCUAAGUUUUCUCUUCCAGGACACAGACUCUGGGGUCAAACUACCAGGAGAAAUUUGGAAAUUGGACUUUACUGAGAUAACUGAUGGGGUCUAUGGUUACAAAUAUAUGGUUGUCCUAGUGGACACUUUUUCAGGAUGGUUUGAGGCAUUCCAAACUAGAUCUCAGGCCGCCCAGGUAGUAGCCAAAAAUCUAGUAAAUAAGAUUAUACCUCAAUUUGGCAUCCCUAUCAGUCUGGGGUCUGACAAUGGCCCGGCUUUCAUAGCCCAUAUCUCUAAAUCCUUAGCUUCUGUCCUCCAGAUAGACUGGAAGCUGCAUUGUGCAUAUCACGCCCAGAGUUCAGGUCAGGUAGAAAGAAUGAAUAGGACCCUCAAGGAGACUUUAAGUUAAUAACAGAGACUGAUGGUAACUGGAUAAGUACUUUUCCCUUCACCCUUCUCAAGGCUGGAUGCACCCCCUAUGCAAAGGGAAUUACUCCCUUUGAGGUGUUUUUUUGUUUUGUUUUGUUUCUGUCUUUUUUGAGACAGGGUCUCCCUGUAGCCCCAGCAGUCCUGGAACUCACUAUGUAGACCAGGCUGGCCUUGAACUCAAAGAGAUCCACCUGCCUCUGCCUCCUGAGUGCUGGGAUUAAAGGCAUGAGCCACCACACCUGGCUUGAGAUUUUGUUUGGACAACCCCCGCCUCUCAUUCCUCACUUAGGAGAGGAACACUUGGCCAAAAUAUUUAAUCACAGCGUUUUACAGUCAUUACAGGCUCUACAAAGUGCCCUAAGCCAGGUGCAAGGGCUAGUGUGGGAGACUCCUGAGUCCAGUUGCCCCCCCUCCCCCCAACUGAUGACUGAUCAGGCAGAUUUGGAACCUGGUGACUGGGUCUGGGUCCGCAGACAUCAAACACCUAACUUCGAACCCAAGUAGACGGGCCCGUACCCAAUCUUCUUGUUGACUCCACCUGCUGUCAGAGUUGCUGGACGGCCCACUGGAUACACUGCUCCCCGGUUAAAAGAACUCAUCUGGACCACACUCCCUGAACAUAGACAGUAAAAAGAACUUGACAGUCCCCUCAAGGUCAGACUGAUGAAAGAAUCUUAAUUUUUGUGUUUAUCUCCUGGGUAAUGGGAGCUAUUAAAGAAAAUGGAAACCAAAACCCCCACAUACCAGUCUCCUACAAAUGGAUAGUCAGGAGAGCUUCAGAUGGAAAACCCUAGCUGCCAAUACAACCACCAGCUACACCCCUACCCUCCAGUUUGACAUCUGUGAUCUGUUCAAACUUGAGAUGGUAUACACUGUACACACUUACUACCAUGCCACAUCUGUUAGGGAUUGGGCCUGUGGGUCUACUCCCUUUGAGAAGGGUCUACAGGACUUACAGGUUUAUGGAUGCCCAGCAGAUGGGAGUCCAGACUGUAACCUUGAAAAUAAAUGGCACUGUGGGACAUGGGGUUGUGAAACAUUUGCCUCCUGGAUUGAUCAAAGGAUAGAUGGAUUUCCCUCCAACAUGGCACAGCUGGAACUACCGUGGGGAAACUCAAACCCCUGGUCUUAAAAAUAUUAAAUGGGGGAGAGCAUAGUGGACACCUAGCAGCUGAUCACCAAGCCGCAGAACCUGAAUGACGGCCCAGCCACUUCCUAGAGAUCGACAUGAGCAAUCCACAGACUGUGGGGGUCAGCCAGGGCUGCUUCACCACCUACGAGAUCAGGGUCAAGACAAACCUUCCCAUCUUCAAGCUGAAAGAAGCUACUGUUAGAAGAUACAGUGACUUUGAAUGGCUGUGGAGUGAAUUGGAAAGAGGAAGCAAGGCUGUAGUUCCCCCACUCCCUGGGAAAGUGUUUUUGUGGCAGCUUCCUUUUAGAAGAGAUGAUGGAAUGUUUGAUGACAAUUUUAUUGAGGAAAGGAAGCAAGGACACUGGUCAUCCUUUGGCACAGAAUGAACGUUGUCUUCAUAUGUUUUUGCAAGGUGAAAUAAUAGAUAAAAGCUAUACUCCGUCUAAAAUAAGACAUGCCUGAAUUUGGCAAGAAGAGGCAGAAAUGUGACUAUUAAUGACUCACAUGCACUGGUGAAGAAGUAACUAACUUGGCACGCUGCACAGAAACUGGUAUACGCUCCCAGGAUACUUAGACUCAUUUUCCUUCUGUGUUGUGUUGGCAGUUGACAAGAAGUUAAUUUGCUUUAGUGAGAAGUCCCUUACUGUAUCCCUCAUUGCAGCCUUUCUCCUGUUGUCUCCGUGUGCACACUAUAGUCUCACAAGCCAUCCCAUAGAACCUGCAGUAUCCUAACUAAAGUUGCCGACUUGAUCUUU